GACGAACGCUGGCGGCGUGCUUAACACAUGCAAGUCGAACGGAAAGGCCCUGCUUUUGUGGGGUGCUCGAGUGGCGAACGGGUGAGUAACACGUGAGUAACCUGCCCUUGACUUUGGGAUAACUUCAGGAAACUGGGGCUAAUACCGGAUAGGAGCUCCUGCUGCAUGGUGGGGGUUGGAAAGUUUCGGCGGUUGGGGAUGGACUCGCGGCUUAUCAGCUUGUUGGUGGGGUAGUGGCUUACCAAGGCUUUGACGGGUAGCCGGCCUGAGAGGGUGACCGGCCACAUUGGGACUGAGAUACGGCCCAGACUCCUACGGGAGGCAGCAGUGGGGAAUAUUACACAAUGGGCGGAAGCCUGAUGCAGCAACGCCGCGUGCGGGAUGACGUCCUUCGGGUUGUAAACCGCUUUCGCCUGUGACGAAGCGGGAGUGACGGUAAUGGGUAAAGAAGCACCGGCUAACUACGUG
rnacentral:rRNA from 1 species